ensembl:snoRNA
AUCCUUUUGUAGUUCAUAAGCAUGACGAUUGGGUUUUCAUGCACAUGCGUGAGAUGUGCCUCCCCCAAAUCUUGUUAUGAUGUGGGCACAUUACCCGUCUGACA